UAAGGAAUAUUGGUCAAUGGAGGCAACUCUGAACCAGCCAUGCCGCGUGCAGGAAGAAGGCCCUAUGGGUCGUAAACUGCUUUUGAACAAGAGAAAACCCCGGUACGUGUACUGGGUUGAUAGUAUUGUUAGAAUAAGCAUCGGCUAACUUCGUGCCAGCAGCCGCGGUAAGACGAAGGAUGCAAGCGUUAUCCGGAUUCAUUGGGUUUAAAGGGUGCGUAGGCGGACUGAUAAGUCAGUGGUGAAAUCUCUCGGCUUAACCGAGAAACUGCCAUUGAUACUGUUAGUCUAGAGUACAGAUGAUGUGGGCGGAAUAUGACAUGUAGUGGUGAAAUACUUAGAUAUGUCAUAGAACACCGAUUGCGAAGGCAGCUCACAAAACUGUAACUGACGCUGAGGCACGAAAGUGCGGGGAUCAAACAGGAUUAGAUACCCGCGUAGUCCCUGAGCGGGCUGGCAAGGCG
rnacentral:rRNA from 1 species